UACGGAGGGUGCAAGCGUUAUCCGGAUUUACUGGGUUUAAAGGGUGUGUAGGCGGACUUUUAAGUCAGGGGUGAAAUCCCGAGGCUCAACCUCGGAACUGCCUUUGAUACUAUUGGUCUUGAAUCUUGUUGAGGUGGGCGGAACGGGGUCAUGUGAGCGGUGAAAUGCAUAGAUAUGACCCGGAACACCGAUUGCGAAGGCAGCUUUACUAUGGUUUUAUUGACGCUG
rnacentral:rRNA from 1 species